rnacentral:rRNA from 1 species
UGGCUCAGAUUGAACGCUGCGGCAGGCUUAACACAUGCAAGUCGAACGGUAACAGAAGAAAGCUUGCUUCUUUGCUGACGAGUGGCGACGGGUGAGUAAUGCUUGGGAAUCUAGCUUAUGGAGGGGGAGUAACUACGGGAAACUGUAGCUAAUACCGCGUAAUAUCGAGAGAUUAAAGGGUGGGACCGCAAGGCCACCUGCCAUGAGAUGAGCCCAAGUGGGAUUAGGUAGUUGGUGAGGUAAAGGCUCACCAAGCCGACGAUCUCUAGCUGGUCUGAGAGGAUGACCAGCCACACUGGAACUGAGACACGGUCCAGACUCCUACGGGAGGCAGCAGUGGGGAAUAUUGCACAAUGGGGGGAACCCUGAUGCAGCCAUGCCGCGUGAAUGAAGAAGGCCUUCGGGUUGUAAAGUUCUUUCGGUAGCGAGGAAGGCAUUUAGUUUAAUAGACUAGAUGAUUGACGUUAACUACAGAAGAAGCACCGGCUAACUCCGUG